rnacentral:lncRNA from 12 species
ACUGCCAAAAUGGAAAAUGCCUGUUAAUAGCACAAGUGACACAUCAUAGAUCACUCACUGACAGACUGAACCUUGUGCUGUCUUGAAGAGCGCAGGCUGCAUGCUAAUGAUGCCCAGGAGGACUAAUGCAUGGCCCUGUGGAGCCCCCUCUCCUGGCUGCUGGCUUGUGCGAUUCUGUAAAGAUAAUGGCCCUGCAUUUCUCAUCCAUCCCACUGGUGUAGAACAUGGGAUUUGGAGAAAAAGGAACCUAUAUUUGCAUCCCCUUCCUUCCACUUUCUAUUGGUUCCAACCUGGACUAUGGGCCUGGAGCCUUCCUUCACUUUUAUUCCAUCUUGCCUCUCCUAAGGACCAGGUGGCUUUGGUAAGUGUGUUCAGAGAGCAUAAAAUUGCAUCAGCUCAGCUCUCUCUCUGCCUUAGCAGACAGAAUAUUAGAAUAGAAAUUUGGGACUAACCCAGCAUGUGGCCAUUGCCUAUCCAAGGGCCAUCUCUGCCAGCCCAGGAAUGCCAUUAUUAGACAGUCUUAUGAGAUGCUUUCUGACAAUCAAGGUGGAGUGUGAGAAGAGCAUCAUUAGUGGGGUGCCUAGUAGAUGUUCUAGCCUCAGGCAGUCCUAUUCUCUGGGCUCCAGGACAACCUGCAAGUCUUCAAGGCCUGAGAACAUGAUCAAUACACCUUCCCAAGGCAAGUUGGGUGACAAAGCACAGGUUCCUUCAGCAAUCAUUAGGUAAAGUGUUUAAUUCCCCCCUUUAGAAAUAUUCUGCUAAGUAGGAAAUAGGUCUACUUGAUUAAGGAAAAACCAGGAAGCUAACCCAAGAAGUUAUUUUCUAUGGGGAAGCCUGCAACACUCAUGAAAAAUGCUACUAAAGACUAUACUUUCUUGGUUUCCUUCUCACGGUAUCCUUCCUGUCUCCACUAAAAUAGGAAAGCCAUCUUACCCACACGAGCUGAAGGAGUGACACAGGUGGUCACUGUGGGAAUUUAGAACAUGACCAGUCAGGGAGGGCUUAAACUUAAAUCUACCAUGUGGACUAUACUUUUGAACCUCAAAUAAUGAGACCAGACUUGAAUUCAGAGUCUAAGAAAUUUUGGUCUUAGAGAGAAUGCCUCCCAUGUUCCCUUGAGCUGUUUUAAGGAUUUUAAUACAUUAAUUUUUAUCUCCCUUGCUUGUUAGUAAGUUCCUUAACUGUCAGAGAAUUAUUCAAAUUUCUUCUGUAUCUCCCAGCUCCCUAGCAAAAUGCAGGCCACAUACACAGAAGCAGCUCACAUGGAGACUUCUGAGGGUCAGAGGUGGAAUAAUAGCAAUGACAGAUAUAGUCAUGAGGAAGUCCCCUCGGUGCCUUCUCUGGGUCUUUGUUAUCUCACUGCAGGAUAGAAAUCUCUUGAAAUUCCCUCAGGCUCUAGGCAGUUUGCCUCUAUGAAGAAAAGACUGCAUGGCAUCGAAAAAGAGCACUGGACUUGGAGUCAGAUGAGCCAUUCUUGCAGCAUCUCUCAGUAGUAAGCCUCUCUGCACCUCAGGCUCUCUGCCCAUAAGAGAAGAAUGACAAUAUCACUCUUUUUUUACUUCCUAGGGUUGUUGUGAAACACAAUUCAGGCAUCAACUAUGAAAAAGCUGUAAAUCGUAGAGCUAAACUUAUAGCGAGGUAGCCACUGAUAGGGGGAGGAAAUAGUUGGAUGGAGUCUAUGUGCAGAGGAUCCCAGUUAAAGAACUGCACUGAAAAAACAAAAAAGGUGGCAAGUUCUGAUGGUAUGGCGUGGGAACGGGCAAGAGAAGAGCAAGAAACAUCUUCCAUGUAAACAAUGCAAGCUUUAGACUUCUUGGCUGUUAGUUACACGAAGAGACCAAGAGACUUGUAAACCCAUCUGCUGCAUCGUGGAUGAUUCCAUAUGGUUGAAAUCUGAUUCUAGAUCUUGGAGAGUGGGUUAAGUGGAUGCAGUCAGGCAGGAGCACUGUGAAUAAAACAAUGGGAAGGCGCA